UGGCUCAGAACGAACGCUGGCGGCAGGCUUAACACAUGCAAGUCGAGCGGGCGUAGCAAUACGUCAGCGGCAGACGGGUGAGUAACGCGUGGGAACGUACCUUUUGGUUCGGAACAACCCAGGGAAACUUGGGCUAAUACCGGAUAAGCCCUUACGGGGAAAGAUUUAUCGCCGAAAGAUCGGCCCGCGUCUGAUUAGCUAGUUGGUGAGGUAACGGCUCACCAAGGCAACGAUCAGUAGCUGGUCUGAGAGGAUGAUCAGCCACAUUGUUACUGAGACACNAGCAUGACUCCUACGGGAGUAGNUAGUGGGG
rnacentral:rRNA from 1 species